rnacentral:rRNA from 1 species
GACGAACGCUGGCGGCGUGCUUAACACAUGCAAGUCGAACGGAAAGGCCCUUCGGGGUACUCGAGUGGCGAACGGGUGAGUAACACGUGGGUGAUCUGCCCUGCACUUUGGGAUAAGCCUGGGAAACUGGGUCUAAUACCGAAUAUGAUCAUCGGCUUCAUGGUCGGUGGUGGAAAGCUUUUGCGGUGUGGGAUGGGCCCGCGGCCUAUCAGCUUGUUGGUGGGGUAAUGGCCUACCAAGGCGACGACGGGUAGCCGGCCUGAGAGGGUGACCGGCCACACUGGGACUGAGAUACGGCCCAGACUCCUACGGGAGGCAGCAGUGGGGAAUACUGCACAAUGGGCGCAAGCCUGAUGCAGCGACGCCGCGUGAGGGAUGACGGCCUUCGGGUUGCAAACCUCUUUCAGCACAGACGAAGCGCAAGUGACGGUAUGUGCAGAAGAAGGACCGGCCAACUACGUGCCAGCCGCCGCAGUAACAC